UGUUUACAAGGACUAUUAUUACAAACCAUGAAUUACAUAAUAAAUAAAAGCUAUACUAUAGGUUGCCUGAAAUAGGCCCAACGUGAACCUGGAAAUACCAAGCCUUCAAACAGUCCCAGAUGCCAUAGUUCCCAAGGGCCUCGGGGACCCCGAGCAAUGCUCACACUAAGAUCCUUUUAAAUAUGAGAAUAGUCAUGUGCAUGGUGGAAGGGCCAGUCCCAGUGCGCCAGAGUUCGUAGGAUCUCAUGGAUCCCUAGGCAGUACACACACUGGAGGGGCAAAGCUUAAGUAAUCUAGGAGGAGAAGUGAGAGUGCUUGAUAUAGUUGAUUUUUUAAAACAAUAUAGAGGUAAAAUCUUUAGGAGUGAGAAUACUUUGGGAGUAGUAAUAGUUUCAACUUUACUUUGUCAAUUAGUUCUAGAUGUACAAACAAUUACACAAAAGAGAGCAGGGGUUGGGAACACAAGACAUUUGAAACAUGAGCACAUAAGAAGAUAGGUUGAGGCAGUCCUGUUAGUUAAUAGAGACACAUAGCAGGCAGGAAUACUGAUUUAAGUUCUAAAUUACAAUCAUACUUAGUGAUAAGCAUGCUAUUUAAGAACACACAAGACUUAAGCACAAGCAAUAUGUUGGCUAAACACAGUGAGACAUAAGUCUGGGUACAGAAGCAAUCAUGCUAAAGAAUACAGGAAGAACCAAAAAGAUUCAAUCACACAAAGUACCCGUACUAAUUGGGGUUACAGGACAAGGAAGACACAAAAAGUAAACAUGAUAUUUAAAACCAUAUUGAAUACUUAAAAAGAAUAGAAUUACUGAUUAAAACACUGAAUAAGAGAAGGUAAAACUAAAGCAUACUGAUCACACCAACAAACAGGAAAGAAUAAAUAAGUGCCUAAGCAAUUAAACUAGUGCAGAAAGAGACAUGGAUUCAACAAGGAGCACAUAGAUUUGAAUUUCGGAAUGACAUUGAAAUAGGAACAUACCAGUAAAGGAAGAAAAAGCAAAAAGUAAAGUGACCAGAAUUCACAGUCUAGCCUUGGCUUUUAACCAGCUAGACAAGCAAGGAGCACAAGUAGCAGAAAGAGAGAUGAGAGAAAGUUUUUGUGUAUGUGUUUUUCAAACUACUGUUCGUGUAUGUAAGGAAGAAUAAUAGUGUGUAGAUAUAGGAGUCGAAUAAUCUAAGUAAAUAAGGCAAUGCAAAUUAACAUUGCAGAAUAAGGUAAGGAAGUAAUCAAAUAAUCAAUUAAGCUUGAAAAGGGAUAGAAAAUCAGGGAAUUAUUCCCAUAAAUGACUCGGAUUGAGUUUUAAUAAGGCAAUAAGUGGGUUUAACGACCAAUUAGGGUUAAAGCCCAUAAAUCAAGCAAUUAAUCAUACGAAUAAGGCAAUCAUACGUAAUUAGAGACCAAUCAAGAAUCAGUCAAUCCCAUAAUAGGCAAGAGAUGCUAAUUAGGGAUCUCUGGAUUAAGGUAAGUGAGCAGAAAUCAGUAAUGAAACCCUAGAUAAUUUAGCUAAUCAGUCAAUUAUUCAAAUAAUAAUGGACGAGAAUAUUGAAGUUACUAAACAAACAACCAAGUAAUCGAACCAGGAACAUAACCAUAUGAGAAAGAUUAAACAAAACAUAAGGAUCUUAGGAAAGUCUUUUUUUUAAAACAGGAGUGGAAAUCCUAAAUUUUUUAGAAAUACUUAGGGUUGAUUAAUAGAAGGAAGAUCAGAAGAAUCUUAAAGAAACAAUCAUUGAAACUCGAAACUACUUCAAACACAGAGGUUCGACCAACAAAUAAUGAGAAAACCAAACCUUAAUAUAAAUAAAGUGCUUAAAAAUCAGUUGAUCAUUAAAGAAAUAAGGUAACCUCAAGGAAAAAUCAGUGAUGAAAUCAAAAUCGCUCUAGAUCUACAAGGAUCUGGAUAUAUUCGAGUCCAAACAUUAGGUUUUUGAAGAAAAAAAGAAAGGGUAAAGAGAAUCUGGUCUUGAAUCAGAGAUUUGAGCCGUAAAACAUCGAUAGAAAGCACUCACAUACCAUAGACAGACUCUUGGAGAGUUCUGAACAAGAUCUGGGCUAGAUCUCUUCAAGAUCCUUCCAUGAAAUCAUAAAAUCGAGCAACCAUGGAAAGUAGAAGGCAUGUAAGAGUCUCAAAUAGCCAUAGAAAUCCAUGCAACGGGUAGGAAUCGAAACUAUUAGGAUUGGUUUUGGGUGGUAGCAAUUAGUGUAAGAGUUUGGUCUCAGAGAGAAUCAAAGAAGAGAGAGUUUUAGGGCGGCGGAAAUGAAAGAAAU
rnacentral:lncRNA from 1 species